GGUACCCUGGCUCUGUUUGUUUUCUGAUAAUUCACCCGAGAGAACUUUAAAAAGUGCAUUCUGGAUCAACUUUAAUAGCUCAUAUCAACAGGUUGAUAGGUGGUUGAUCAGAACAAGUUAGAGACAACAAAAGGUCUCAUGACGUUGUUGAACAAAAAAGAAAAAUCAGUUGAUUCUGAGGGAGUCAGGUGGGAACUUUUUUCACAUUUGGUUGUCUUCAUAAGGAAUAGCCCCAAUAAACACAGAUAAAGUUCCAUAUUGCAUACUUCAUACAGAUAUUACACUUCAUGAAAAGUAUUUUACAGUGCUAUGAUCAUGUCUAAUGGCUGCUCGUAUCUUUCCAGAAGCCUCUCCUCAUCAUAACCCCCUUUGGCUCUUUCUGCUGCUCAGCUUCGGAGGCAGCGUUUUGUUGGUGCUUCUGAUGUUCGGAUUUCUUCUAUGUCAGACAUAUCGACCAGCCGCCAGAGGCCAAACAGAAAGCGCCGCUUUGACUCAAGAAUCCAGUUCAGCUGAACCAAUGCAAACAACGUAUGCCACCGUCACAAAACCCAGGGACGUAAAAGAAUCCGGUGCAGGUGAACAAACAAACACAACAUAUGUCACCGUCACAAGACCCACGGGCGUACAAGAAUCCAAUGCAGCUGAACAAACAAACACAACGUAUGCCACCGUCACAAGACCCAGGGAGGUGAAAGAAUCCAGUUCAGCUGAACCAAUACACACAACAUAUGCCACGGUGGCAAAAGGUAAUUUAAUCAACACUCA